GACGAACGCUGGCGGCGUGCCUAACACAUGCAAGUCGAGGGGUGAUUUCGGUCAUCACUGGCGCACGGGUGAGUAACGCGUAGAUCAUCUGCCCCUAUCACUGACAUAACAGUUCUAACGGACUGCUAAUAUCAGAUGAGGUGAGCAAUCAUCAAAGUUUCGACGGAUAGGGAUGAGUCUGCGUCUGAUUAGGUAGUUGGUGAGGUAACGGCUCACCAAGCCGACGAUCAGUAACUGGUCUGGGAGGACGAACAGUCACACUGGAACUGAGACACGGUCCAGACUCCUACGGGAGGCAGCAGUGAGGAAUAUUGCACAAUGGGAGGGAAUCCUGAUGCAGCGACGCCGCGUGCGGGAGUGAAGGGGCGUUAGCCUCGUAAACCGACUGUCGGAGGGGACGGAAUGGUACGAUUUGAUGUACUGAGACGGUACCCUCCAAAGGAAGGAUCGGCUAACUACGUGCCAGCAGCCGCGGU
rnacentral:rRNA from 1 species